rnacentral:tRNA from 1 species
UCCUGGUUAGCUGAGUUGGUAGAGCGCCUUACUGAAAUGGAAAGGUCCCUGGUUCGAUACCAGGACCAGGCG